AAUCUCCCUAUGCUCCAGUCAUGAGUUUCCAAGGCUAUGGAAGCCCUCUGAGUUCUCCGACUCUUAUCUUGUUUAGACAAGGUCAUAGUCAAAGUGGAGGUUCUCUCUUCCCUUCAGAGAAAGGUACCUCCUUCUUUGAUGACCUGUUCUUUCCACUGGGAUCUCACUCGCAGAGAUCUUUUGCCAGAGUGUCUUGGCUUUCCAUGCCUGAAAUACUCUCAUGAGCUUUUCAGCCAGCUCCGAAUGCCUUUAGGGCUGAUUCUGAGGCCAGAGUGCUAUUUAGGACAUCUGCCAUUCUAUGAGUCUGCUGAGUAUCUCACUUCCCAUGUUGGAUCACUCUCCCCUUUAUUUACUCCAUCAGUUAGCGUUAGCAGGUACUAGACUUGUCUAUGUGUUCCCUUUGACUCCCAGUCCCUUCACCAUAACCAACUGUGAACUGAAAUUGAUCACCUGGAACAGUGAGAUGGCAUUGGUACAUGCCACCUCGAUGGGAUUGAAUUGGAAUCCCCUGGUAUGCUUCCAACUCCACCACUUGGGGCAAGUCAGCCUGAGCAUGUCCCAAAUUAUACAUCUCUUCCCUCUCCCAUUCCCACCACCAUGUUCAACAGGGAUCACAUUUCAGUUAAUUUUCAACACUUAAGAAUAACUGUGCAUCAAUUACAGAUCUAAA